AGUGAACGCUGGCGGUAGGCCUAACACAUGCAAGUCGAACGGCAGCACAGUAAGAGCUUGCUCUUACGGGUGGCGAGUGGCGGACGGGUGAGGUAUACAUCGGAAUCUACUUUUUCGUGGGGGAUAACGUAGGGAAACUUACGCUAAUACCGCAUACGACCUACGGUUGAAAGCAGUGGAUCUUUGGACCUUGCGCGAUUGAAUGAGCCGAUGUCGGAUUAGCUAGUUGGGGGGGUAAAGGCCCACGAAGGCGACGAUCCGCAGCUGGUCUGAGAGACUGGUCGGCCGCACGGGAGCGGAGACGGGGACCAGACUCCUACGAGAGGGAGCAGUGGGGUAUAUUAGGCAGUAGGGGCGAGCCUGGUCCAGCCAUAGCGAGUGGGUUGAAGAGACCUUGGGGUUGGAAAGCCGUUUUGUUGGGAAAGAAAAGCAGCAGGUUGAGACGCCGCUGUUCUGACGGUACCCAAUGAAUAAGCACCGGCUAACUUCGUG
rnacentral:rRNA from 1 species